rnacentral:rRNA from 1 species
UACGGGGGGGGCAAGCGUUGUUCGGAAUUACUGGGCGUAAAGGGCUCGUAGGCGGCCAACUAAGUCGGAUGUGAAAUCCCCAGGCUCAACCUGGGAACUGCAUCCGAUACUGGAUGGCUUGAAUUCGGGAGAGGGAUGCAGAAUUCCAGGUGUAGCGGUGAAAUGCGUAGAUAUCAGGAGGAACACCGGUGGCGAAGGCGGUUCUCUGGGAAUGUCCUGACGCUGAGGAGCGAAAGUGUGGGGAGCGAACAGG